GGGUGCGAUCAUACCAGCCCUAAUGCACUCAAUCCCAUCAGAACUCCACAGUUAGGCGUGCUUGGGCGAGAGUAGUACUAGGAUGGGUGACCUCCUGGGAAGUCCUCGUGUUGCGCCCA
rnacentral:rRNA from 1 species